rnacentral:rRNA from 1 species
UACAGAGGUCUCAAGCGUUGUUCGGAUUCAUUGGGCGUAAAGGGUGCGUAGGUGGCGCCGUAAGUCAGGUGUGAAAUUUCGGAGCUUAACUCCGAAACUGCAUUUGAUACUGCGGUGCUUGAGGACUGGAGAGGAGAUUGGAAUUCACGGUGUAGCAGUGAAAUGCGUAGAUAUCGUGAGGAAGACCAGUGGCGAAGGCGGAUCUCUGGACAGUUCCUGACACUGAGGCACGAAGGCUAGGGGAGCAAACGGG